CCGCGUGGCGCUGACGUGGCGCUGGCGUGGCAGGGCCAGGGACAUUUUUGCAAAUAAAUUUUACACAGGGCUAUUUUUGCAAAUAAAAUUUGUCAGGGGGCUAUUUGCAAAAAAACCCCUUAAAAAUCUAAUCUCUUCCCUUUCUCUCUCUCUAUUGUUUUUUCUAACCGAACACACACACAAAAAAAAUAUCACUUAUUUAAUUUCACCUCGAGUGGUUUGCUGGGCCAUGCAUGUGCCUCUUUUGCACCUUCUCUCUACAAUUAAAAAUCUAAUCUCUUCCCUUUCUCUCUCUAUUGUUUUUUCUAACCGAACACACACACACAAAAAUAAUUUUUCACUUAUUUAAUUUCACCUAGAGUGGUUUGCUAAUUAUUUUACGCUGCUUCAACUUUGCUCGCCUGCUUAAAUUUCAGCUUUUUUGAUGAAUUUUCUUCGCUGCAUUUGUUUUGAUUUGAUUGAGUAAAAACAAAUCAUAAAAAAAAGGUGUUCCAUCAUUAAAUCACGUCGGGCAUGAAUGUGCCUCUUUGCACCUUCUCUCUACAAUUAAAAAUCUAAUCUCUUCUCUCUCUCUCUCUAUUAUUUUUAUAACCGAACACACACACACACAAAUAAUUUUUCACUUAUUUAAUUUCACCUACAGUGGUUUGCUAAUUAUUUUACACUGCUUCAACUUUGCUCGCCUUCUUAAAUUUCAACUUUUUGAUGAAUUUUCUUUACUGCAUUUGUUUUGAUUUGAUUGAGUAAAAACAAAUCAUAAAAAAAACAGUGUUCCGUCAUUAAGUCACGUCGCCUGUUUCAUUAAAUCUGAAGUUUUAGUUACUGUAACAUUCAUGCACCUUGUGUUUGAUGCUAAACAACAUUGCUAUAUAUAGAAAAAGUUGGGGAGGAUACAUGCAUUCUAAUGAUAAGAAAGAAAGCAAAAGGACAAGGAAUAUUCUAUAUACUAUGGAAAAUUUUGUUUCAUACAUCCUGUGUUUGAUGUUAAACAAUAUUGCUAUAUAUAGAAAAAGUUGGGUAGGAUGCAUACAUCGGAAUGAUAAGAAAGAAAGCAAAAGGACAAGGAAUAUUUUAUGUAGUAUGGAAAAGUUUGUAAGAGAAAAGUUUAUCCUGUAUGUGAGAUACAAUUUUUAUUGAACUUAGAAAAGUAAAAGGCAAUUUACAAAUAAUUCAUGGUAAAAUUGGAAUGAAAACAGGAGAUUUAGAAUUUUCUGUAAGGAAUGUAGUUUUUGUUAGCAGAAAAUUUAGUGUAAGAAAAUUUUGAAAAUGUGAGAAUAUGUCGGAAUUAUUUUUUUGAUGCUAGAUUUAAAGUUUCGUGUCAUUCUGACACUCGAAAAGUGAGGACGAAACAUAAUAGCAAUCUGAUAAAGAUUUUAGUUGGUAGACCUUUCGGCGACAAAAAAUGAUUCAAAACUGAAAAUUAAGAUCACGUUCUUUUGGUUGAUUUUAAUUGAGCUUGACUUUCAAAUUUGAGCUUAAACGGACAUUCAGAAGGGCUCCAACUAAAAAUAUCAGAUUCUGAACUAAAUUAAACUAUAAGUUGUAGUUGUUGGGGAG
rnacentral:lncRNA from 1 species